GGGUUGUGAGGUUAAGCGACUAAGCGUACACGGUGGAUGCCCUGGCAGUCAGAGGCGAUGAAGGACGUGCUAAUCUGCGAUAAGCGCCGGUAAGGUGAUAUGAACCGUUAUAACCGGCGAUUUCCGAAUGGGGAAACCCAGUGUGAUUCGUCACACUAUCAUUAACUGAAUCCAUAGGUUAAUGAGGCGAACCGGGGGAACUGAAACAUCUAAGUACCCCGAGGAAAAGAAAUCAACCGAGAUUCCCCCAGUAGCGGCGAGCGAACGGGGAGGAGCCCAGAGCCUGAAUCAGCAUGUGUGUUAGUGGAAGCGUCUGGAAAGGUGCGCGAUACAGGGUGACAGCCCCGUACACAAAAGCGCAUGUGCUGUGAGCUCGAUGAGUAGGGCGGGACACGUGGUAUCCUGUCUGAAUAUGGGGGACCAUCCUCCAAGGCUAAAUACUCCUGACUGACCGAUAGUGAACCAGUACCGUGAGGGAAAGGCGAAAAGAACCCCGGCGAGGGGAGUGAAAAAGAACCUGAAACCGUGUACGUACAAGCAGUGGGAGCACAGGUUUACCUGUGUGACUGCGUACCUUUUGUAUAAUGGGUCAGCGACUUAUAUUCUGUAGCAAGGUUAACCGUAUAGGGGAGCCGUAGGGAAACCGAGUCUUAACCGGGCGUUAAGUUGCAGGGUAUAGACCCGAAACCCGGUGAUCUAGCCAUGGGCAGGUUGAAGGUUGGGUAACACUAACUGGAGGACCGAACCGACUAAUGUUGAAAAAUUAGCGGAUGACCUGUGGCUGGGGGUGAAAGGCCAAUCAAACCGGGAGAUAGCUGGUUCUCCCCGAAAGCUAUUUAGGUAGCGCCUCGUGAAUUCAUCUCCGGGGGUAGAGCACUGUUUCGGCUAGGGGGCCAUCCCGGCUUACCAACCCGAUGCAAACUGCGAAUACCGGAGAAUGUUAUCACGGGAGACACACGGCGGGUGCUAACGUCCGUCGUGAAGAGGGAAACAACCCAGACCGCCAGCUAAGGUCCCAAAGUCAUGGUUAAGUGGGAAACGAUGUGGGAAGGCCCAGACAGCCAGGAUGUUGGCUUAGAAGCAGCCAUCAUUUAAAGAAAGCGUAAUAGCUCACUGGUCGAGUCGGCCUGCGCGGAAGAUGUAACGGGGCUAAACCAUGCACCGAAGCUGCGGCAGCGAACGUAUCACUUAAAGCGAUUCAGCGGGUUACGAUUGACGGAGCGAAGCGACGUCAAAGCGUAUACAAAGUCGAGUCGGUUUAAGGAUACGUUCGUUGGGUAGGGGAGCGUUCUGUAAGCCCGUGAAGGUGGCCUGUGAGGGUUGCUGGAGGUAUCAGAAGUGCGAAUGCUGACAUAAGUAACGAUAAAGCGGGUGAAAAGCCCGCUCGCCGGAAGACCAAGGGUUCCUGUCCAACGUUAAUCGGGGCAGGGUGAGUCGACCCCUAAGGCGAGGCCGAAAGGCGUAGUCGAUGGGAAACGGGUUAAUAUUCCCGUACUUGGUGUUACUGCGAAGGGGGACGGAGAAGGCUAUGUUGGCCGGGCGACGGUUGUCCCGGUUUAAGCGUGUAGGUGUGUGUUCCAGGUAAAUCCGGUUCACUUUAACACUGAGGCGUGACGACGAGGCACUACGGUGCUGAAGCAACAAAUGCCCUGCUUCCAGGAAAAGCCUCUAAGCAUCAGGUAACAUCAAAUCGUACCCCAAACCGACACAGGUGGUCAGGUAGAGAAUACCAAGGCGCUUGAGAGAACUCGGGUGAAGGAACUAGGCAAAAUGGUGCCGUAACUUCGGGAGAAGGCACGCUGACACGUAGGUGAAGUGAUUUACUCAUGGAGCUGAAGUCAGUCGAAGAUACCAGCUGGCUGCAACUGUUUAUUAAAAACACAGCACUGUGCAAACACGAAAGUGGACGUAUACGGUGUGACGCCUGCCCGGUGCCGGAAGGUUAAUUGAUGGGGUCAGCGCAAGCGAAGCUCCUGAUCGAAGCCCCGGUAAACGGCGGCCGUAACUAUAACGGUCCUAAGGUAGCGAAAUUCCUUGUCGGGUAAGUUCCGACCUGCACGAAUGGCGUAAUGAUGGCCAGGCUGUCUCCACCCGAGACUCAGUGAAAUUGAACUCGCUGUGAAGAUGCAGUGUACCCGCGGCAAGACGGAAAGACCCCGUGAACCUUUACUAUAGCUUGACACUGAACAUUGAGCCUUGAUGUGUAGGAUAGGUGGGAGGCUUUGAAGUGUGGACGCCAGUCUGCAUGGAGCCGACCUUGAAAUACCACCCUUUAAUGUUUGAUGUUCUAACGUGGACCCGUAAUCCGGGUUGCGGACAGUGUCUGGUGGGUAGUUUGACUGGGGCGGUCUCCUCCUAAAGAGUAACGGAGGAGCACGAAGGUUGGCUAAUCCUGGUCGGACAUCAGGAGGUUAGUGCAAUGGCAUAAGCCAGCUUGACUGCGAGCGUGACGGCGCGAGCAGGUGCGAAAGCAGGUCAUAGUGAUCCGGUGGUUCUGAAUGGAAGGGCCAUCGCUCAACGGAUAAAAGGUACUCCGGGGAUAACAGGCUGAUACCGCCCAAGAGUUCAUAUCGACGGCGGUGUUUGGCACCUCGAUGUCGGCUCAUCACAUCCUGGGGCUGAAGUAGGUCCCAAGGGUAUGGCUGUUCGCCAUUUAAAGUGGUACGCGAGCUGGGUUUAGAACGUCGUGAGACAGUUCGGUCCCUAUCUGCCGUGGGCGCUGGAGAACUGAGGGGGGCUGCUCCUAGUACGAGAGGACCGGAGUGGACGCAUCACUGGUGUUCGGGUUGUCAUGCCAAUGGCACUGCCCGGUAGCUAAAUGCGGAAGAGAUAAGUGCUGAAAGCAUCUAAGCACGAAACUUGCCCCGAGAUGAGUUCUCCCUGAGACUUAGAGUCUCCUGAAGGAACGUUGAAGACGACGACGUUGAUAGGCCGGGUGUGUAAGCGCAGCGAUGCGUUGAGCUAACCGGUACUAAUGAACCGUGAGGCUUAACCUUACAACGCCGAAG
rnacentral:rRNA from 1 species